CAGUCGCCACGGUAAUACGGAGGGAGCUAGCGUUGUUCGGAAUUACUGGGCGUAAAGCGCGCGUAGGCGGUUACUCAAGUCAGAGGUGAAAGCCCGGGGCUCAACCCCGGAACUGCCUUUGAAACUAGGUGACUAGAAUCUUGGAGAGGUCAGUGGAAUUCCGAGUGUAGAGGUGAAAUUCGUAGAUAUUCGGAAGAACACCAGUGGCGAAGGCGGCUCACUGGCUCAUACUGGACGCUGAGGUGCGAAAGCGUGGGGAGCAAACAGGAUUAGAUACCCCCGUAGUCCCUGUCUCUUAUAC
rnacentral:rRNA from 1 species